rnacentral:rRNA from 1 species
UGCCAGCAGCCGCGGUAAUACGGAGGGAGCAAACGUUGUUCGGAUUUACUGGGUGUAAAGGGUGCGUAGGCGGCCCUGUAAGUCGGAUGUGAAAGCCCAGGGCUUAACCCUGGAAUUGCAUUCGAUACUGCAUGGCUAGAGUAUGGUAGAGGGAAGUGGAAUUUCCGGUGUAGCGGUGAAAUGCGUAGAUAUCGGAAGGAACACCAGUGGCGAAGGCGACUUCCUGGGCCAAUACUGACGCUGAGGUGCGAAAGCGUGGGGAGCAAACAGGAUUAGAUU